UGUAUUUUUUUAUCUCGACCUUGGUGAACCUUUAAUAAAAAACAAAAACAAAAUAAAAACAACAAAUUUAUAGAGAGAUAAUGUUUAUCUAAAUGAAUGCACACAAUAUCACACAUUAUAUAUUCUCUGAUACAUUGUAAUACUAAUACUAGUACUGGUACACAUAGUUUUUUCAAUUCCAAAGUAGUUUAGGCAUAUUGCCAAUAUUUUCCACACUGUAGUUUUACUUUGCCGUUUUCUUUCAGCCUCGUGGAUCUUCACCUGCUGUUUUUGGCUUCACUGCAGAUAUGUGUCCUGAGCGCCACCUGGAGCAUCAUUUGCCUCCAGCAUCUCUCUUUGACCCUGUCUGUGUUUUUGGACACUUCUUCCUGCUAAUUCGCUACCCAACGCUGCCCUCAUGACCUUCACAGCAUCGACAAACGAAUAUAUGUUCAUCCACACAGCACUGUAAUAAUCCAUGUGUAUUUACUGUACAUUUACUGAGAUGCAUCAUGUACUGUACUUUUCUGUCAAUAAACAGUUUACCAUAUAGAGCCACUGAGGCCCAU